rnacentral:rRNA from 1 species
GUGCAGCAGUCGCGAAAACUCCACAAUGUGGGAAACCACGAUGGGGGAACUCCCAGUGCGCACACUUUGUGUGCGCUGUUCUCCUGCCUAACCAGCCGGGUGAAUAAGGGGAGGGCAAGUCUGGUGUCAGCCGCCGCGGUAAUACCAGCUCCCCGAGUGGUUGGGACGAUUAUUGGGUCUGAAGCGUCCGUAGCCGGCCGGAAAAGUUCCCCGUUAAAUCUGGCGAUCCAAUCGUUGGGCUGCGGGGAAUACUCUUCGGCUUGGGGGCGAGGGAGGUCGGCGGUAGUCCCGGGGUAGGGGCGAAAUCCUAUAAUCCCGGGAGGACCACCAGUGGCGAAGGCUGCCGACUAAAACGCGCCCGACGGUGAGGGACGAAAGCUGGGGGAGCGAACGGGAUUAGAUAUGAAGUUGAGUUUUUGCCAGCUUCACUAGAUACCCGUGUAGUCC